UGUUGAUUUAGUGAGUGGUGAAACUGCAAAAUCAAGUUGGAGCAGGCUCUCGGUGGAAGUCUUUUCUGAUCCCGUCACAGACAGACUAUGAAGAAAAUAUUAGUAAGUGCCGGCCAACCCCUGCUCCGACCAGAGGAGGAUGCUCUCCCCCUUGCAUCUCAAGGAAACAUCUCAGGAGGAAUUCUGAUUUAGGACCCUUGGGGGGCCUCCUGGGGAGCUGGGGAUUUCUAAACCCAGUCUUGGUCUGUGAAGAGCCCCAGAGCAUCUUGUGGGUGGAACCUUAUGAAUAAUUGAUUAGGUUUCCUGUCUUUAUUCAUCAGAACCUAUUCAGGACCAAGACUCGGUGGGCGUCCUCAGUGAGGCAGGAAGACACACGAGAUAGAUAUCAAGCGCUUGGGUGGUGGGAAGCCGGUCAACACCGGAAGUU
rnacentral:lncRNA from 1 species